rnacentral:lncRNA from 1 species
ACACGUGCAAAUACGCGCUGUCCUUGUGUGAUUCAGAACUCUACCUUCGAGUGAUAUUUAGAUUGCUCGCCUCCUUUUCUUGUUCGUUCUUCGAUUGCGGACAGGAAUUGAUCUUCGUGAUCAGGCUGAUCUCGCACCGGCGAGGUUGGUAACCAUCGGGAGUUGGUUCAGCGAUUGCAUUGGCGCUUCGGGUUCGCUCGUCAUAGUCGGAUCGUGAGGGUCUACUUCCACCAAG